GAGUUUGAUCCUGGCUCAGGACGAACGCUGGCGGCGUGCUUAACACAUGCAAGUCGAGCGUGAACCUCAGGUGGGGUAACCCACUCGAGGGGAAAGCGGCGAACGGGGUGAGUAACACGUGGGCAACCUGCCCCAGACUCUGGGAUAACUCCGGGAAACCGGGGCUAAUACCGGAUACUCUCGCGCAACCACAUGGGUGCACGAGGAAAGCUCCGACGGUCUGGGAUGGGCCCGCGGCCUAUCAGCUUGUUGGUGGGGUAACGGCCCACCAAGGCGACGACGGGUAGCUGGCGUGAGAGCGUGGCCAGCCACACUGGGACUGAGACACGGCCCAGACUCCUACGGGGGGCAGCAGUGGGGAAUCUUGCGCAAUGGGCGAAAGCCUGACGCAGCGACGCCGCGUGGGGGAAGAAGGCCUUC
rnacentral:rRNA from 1 species